rnacentral:tRNA from 1 species
GGCCUGAUGGCGUAGUUGGUUAUCGCAUCUGUCUAACACACAGAAGGUCUCCCGUUCGAGCCGGGGUCAGGUCA